GCUUAUUCUGAGUUUAACAGUCCACAGCCUCACUCUGGACACUCUCUCAUGCCACGUGAAGGAACUCAACACCGUUUUCCUUUUCCCUCCAGUUAUCAGCAGGGGAGAGUACUUAGAGGUCUGCUUUCCCAGACUGGGAUGGACAGCUGGACCCCCCCAUCACGCAUGGGCACCUCUCCUAAUUCCAGCCUUCACCACGUCCCAUGCUUUAGGAAAACAGCCUCAGAACUCACCUCUCUGCAGCCAGUCUUGCCUUCCUGCAAUCUGUCCCCACAAUGCAGACAGAGGGACCCUUCAAAUUAAACAUCACAGUGUAUCCCUGCAGGCCUCAGAGCCCAUCGUGAACUUCCUGAGCACUGCAGACUACCCGGACACUCCAUCUGUACUGAGACUGUCCUUCUCAUUCCCCAGAUCCUGCUGGGUGGGCGGCUGUCAGCUCUUAGCUAUGUGUGCCCUACUGAAGUGUGGGUCCCCUCAUCAGACAUCACACAUUGGGGGCAGCCUACUUCAACAGCUGGCCAAUACAUGGGCGAGGAAGACAAAGGUGUAAUGGUCAGCCCCUCCCCUUCCUUCAGGACAGCUCUCCAGGGCCACCCCAGCUCCUGCACCCCUGAUGGACUCUACAGUGAUCACACUGCAGUCCCACCUUCUUCUGCCAAGCCCUGCCUCCCUCCUCCUCCUCCACAGGAGAUAGCUCUAAGAGCUCAACUCAACACACAGAGGCAGAAAGUAGGAAAGGAACUCAGCCAGGCUCACAGAUGAGCCCGUGGCUACACCAGAUUCACAGGCACAGAGGGAUCAGCAGAGUCAGUGUUUACAGGACGGUGGAAGAUUGUGACCAAGAACAGACCCUGGGCCAGGCCAGCUUGUGUGGUGGGACUGAGCAGGGCAAUCAGUCAGCUGCUCCACUCGCCGACUGGACAUGGGGACCACUCGGCAAUGAUCACCAUUACUGCUGUCCUCUGUGGACAUUCCCAUGUAGCAGGUAGGGUCUUCAACACCUCUAUGCACUUCCACAUGACAGAGAGAGGGUGCAGGUAUCAUAGCAGGCCUGCCUGACAAUGACCCCCGUCUCCCACUGCACAGUCAACAUCAGUGGAAAAUGUUGCAUCUGCCUUUUUUGUAGAUGGGCCUGUACCUGGGUGAAGCUGGCACACAGAUCUUAGGCCUAUGCAAUGAGAACAUUGAAA
rnacentral:lncRNA from 1 species